rnacentral:siRNA from 1 species
GCUCACGACUGAUUCUUAACCAAU